UACAGAGGUCUCAAGCGUUGUUCGGAAUCACUGGGCGUAAAGGGUGCGUAGGCCGCACGGUAAGUCAGAGGUGAAAUCCCGGAGCUCAACUUCGGAAUUGCCUCCGAUACUGCCGUGCUUGAGGACUGGAGAGGAGAUUGGAAUUCACAGUGGAGCAGUGAAAUGCGUAGAUAUUGUGAGGAACACCAGUGGCGAAGGCGGCUUCCUGGCCUGUAACUGACGCUGAGACGCGAAAGCGUGGGGAGCGAACCGG
rnacentral:rRNA from 1 species